rnacentral:rRNA from 1 species
UUUGCGGUCAAGUUAGCAAGGGCACACGGUGGAUGCCUUGGCGCCAGGAGGCGAUGAAGGGCGUGGCAAACUGCGAUAAGCCCCGGGUAG